rnacentral:rRNA from 1 species
GAGUUUGAUCCUGGCUCAGAACGAACGCUAGCGGUGCGUUUUAAGCAUGCAAGUCGAACGGUAUUGUUUUCUAUUUUAUAGGAGAGCAAGAGAGUGGCGAACGGGUGAGUAACACGUAGGUAAUCUGCCUAUCAAACUGGGAUAGCCAGUGGAAACACUGGGUAAUACCGGAUACGUGCUAAGCAAGGAAUUGUUUAGCAGAAAGGGUACGUAAGUGCCGUUGAUAGAGGAGCCUGCGCUUGAUUAGCUAGUUGGUAGGGUAAUGGCCUACCAAGGCAAUGACCAAUAGCCGGCCUGAGAGGGUGAACGGCCACACUGGGACUGAGACACGGCCCAGACUCCUACGGGAGGCAGCAGCUAAGAAUCUUCCGCAAUGGGCGAAAGCCUGACGGAGCGACACCGCGUGAAUGAUGAAGGCCGUGAGGUUGUAAAAUUCUUUUCUCAUUGAGGAAUAAAUAUUAUGCGUAAGUGUAAUAUGAUGACGGUAAAUGAGGAAUAAGCCCCGGCUAAUUACGUGCCAGCAGCCGCGGUAAUACGUAAGGGGCGAGCGUUGUUCGGAAUUAUUGGGCGUAAAGGGUAUGUAGGCGGAUUGGAAGGCAUUAUGAUAAAGGUCGUAGCUCAACUACGGUGCAUUGUAAUGAACCCUCAAUCUAGAGUUAUAGAGGGGAAACUGGAAUUCCUGGUGUAAGGGUGAAAUCUGUAGAUAUCAGGAAGAACAUCAGAGGCGAAGGCGAGUUUCUGGCUAAUAACUGACGCUGAGGUACGAAAGCGUGGGGAGCGAACGGGAUUAGAUACCCCGGUAGUCCACGCUGUAAACGAUGUGCACUAGGUGGUGGAUUUGCGAAAAUUCACUACCGUAGCUAACGUGUUAAGUGCACCGCCUGGGGAGUAUGCUCGCAAGAGUGAAACUCAAAGGAAUGACGG